rnacentral:rRNA from 1 species
GAUGAACGCUAGCGACAGGCUUAACACAUGCAAGUCGAGGGGCAGCACGGGAGUAGCAAUACAACUGGUGGCGACCGGCGCACGGGUGAGUAACGCGUAUGCAACCUACCUAUCAGAGGGGAAUAACCCGGCGAAAGUCGGACUAAUACCGCAUAAAACAGGGGCACCGCAUGGUGAUAUUUGUUAAAGAGAUUCGCUGAUAGAUGGGCAUGCGUUCCAUUAGGUAGUUGGUGAGGUAACGGCUCACCAAGCCGACGAUGGAUAGGGGAACUGAGAGGUUGGUCCCCCANACUGGUACUGAGACACGGACCAGACUCCUACGGGAGCAGCAGUGAGGAAUAUUGGUCAAUGGGCGGGAGCCUGAACCAGCCAAGUCGCGUGAAGGAAGAAGGAUCUAUGGUUCGUAAACUUCUUUUGCAGGGGAAUAAAGUGCAGGACGUGUCCUGUUUUGUAUGUACCCUGAGAAUAAGGAUCGGCUAACUCCGUGCCAGCAGCCG